UUUGUAGGAGCUGGGUCGGGUGGAUAUUUCCUAGGAAGAAAGAGGUUUAUCUUCCUGAUGACACUUACAAAUCUAUUUUUUGGGAUGAGUCUAAGCAGCGAUGGGUGGAUCACAAUGAACCAGAGGAAGAGGAACCUGGAACAGAUAUAUUGAUGUGAUGAACACAGGUGGAUACAUCACUAAGCCUGGGGUGUCUGUUCCUCCACCAACCAUGUUGGCCCUGCUGCCUCAUGUGGACAUGACAGGAAGUAAAUUCCACCCAG